CCAGACUGCGGUUGUGGGAGUCCUGCAAGUCCUUUUUGGUUUCAUCAGACCUUUCUGAGAUGCCCAGAAACUGAUCCUUGUGAUGGAGGCAGAGACGUGUCUGAGCUGGAGUGGACUGACAGAAGAUAUAAGGUUGGCAGAACAAUUCUCAAGCUUCUUCAUUCCCCAUCAUGAUGCAAAGUGCAAAACCACAGCUUCUCCUCUUCUUUUGACUGCACACACUGUGUACAGCUUUGACAUGUGAAACUACAAAAAGUGAGAACAGAUUAUGGCAUUUCAUUGCUGUUUUGGGGUGCUGGCUGCUGUGGGAACCCACACUUGAUGCAUCAAACCUGGGGUCUGUCAGUGCUUGGCUGUUCUUCCAGAUCUACUUUGCUUUCCCCUGGCUGCUGAACAGUCCCAGGGUGAAAUGCUGCUGGCAGUGAGCAGUACAGCUUCCCUUUCCUCCAGGAUUGGUGCACGAUACAGAGCAGAGGAAGAUUUCAGUGCUUGAACAGGGCUUUGUGGCUUAAUCCUGGUUGAGGAUUCAGUAGAUGUGGGUACAAAGGGGCUGCAGUGUUAGAUCCCCAAAGCAAGAGGGUGUUUGCAAACCACCACAGGACAGGAUGCACCAGGCAACAGCUCACCCAUGAAGACUGACAGCUCUGGAGCCUGAUCCUGCAAGGACAGGAGCUCAGCAUCACCCAGAUCUGAGCCAAAGCACUGGGGCCACUCCAGAUCUGAGCCAAAGCACUGGGGCCACUUGCUCUGGGGCUCGUGGACACCUCAUUUUGGGAAGGACAAAGGGCAAGCUGACACGAUUAUGCUCUGGCAAACAUCUCUGCCUGAGCACGGUGGUGCUGGCUGCUGCCAACGAGCCAGUGUGAAACAGGCUGUCUGCAGGAAGGCUGGAGGAGCUCGCAGAGGAGAAGGGAAGAGGGUAAUGAAAGCAGCGUUUGGCUUUUUGUCUCCAAAUGAUCAUCGCCUUGUGAAUCAGGUUACCAGAGUCAUUGCUUGUGGGACGAGUGCUUCCUUUUCGACUUCUUGAGAUCUUACAUCCCCUACAAAUCAUCUCUGUUGUCUGUCACUGAGUUCAGUAACCUACAGACAGCCUUCAUUUCUGGACUUCCAGAGCCACACAGUGAGAGAGAAAAGUAGCAGAUAAAUCUCUCCUGGGUUUGGAUAUUCCUCAGCAAACAGUACUUUGCUUAAUUACUCAGAGGAUACUUCCUUAAUUAGGUGGCUGCUCCUG
rnacentral:lncRNA from 1 species